GAAAAGCCCAUCUUUUCCCUUAAUACCGUUGCAAGUGCUGAUUGAUACAUUCAGAUUUCUUCAGUAAUCAAAUGACUAAGUUGGAAUUACUGCACAGACAGCAUGAGUAUCUAUGACGAUAUUGAUGCUGACGUGCUGCAAAAUUACCAAGAAUACAAUCUGGCCAACAUCAUCUACUACUCUCUGAAGGAGUCCACCACUAGUGAGCAGAGUGCCAGGAUGACAGCCAUGGACAAUGCCAGCAAGAAUGCUUCUGAGAUGAUUGACAAAUUGACAUUGACAUUCAACCGUACCCGCCAAGCUGUCAUCACAAAAGAGUUGAUUGAAAUUAUCUCUGGUGCUGCAGCUCUGGAUUAAUGAAAAUCAAGUUCCAUCCUCAGACAAGAGGUAAAGAAGGAAAAUUCAGCCAGUUGAUUUUGUUUUUAGCUUACUGCUGCCUUUGUCCGAAGAAACUGUUCCUCCAUUAUUUGAAUUACUGAAGACAGCAAGAUAUUUGUAAAUUAUCUUAAAAUAAACAACUUAAAAUAAAA
rnacentral:sRNA from 1 species